CUGGCAGGCUACAGUCCGCAGGGUGGCAAAGAGUUGGACACGACUGAGUGACUAAACAACAAAAACCAACAAAAAGGCGGAGGCAUGUUAGAUGUUGGUGCAGGAAUGAAGAAAAUGAAGUUCCUACUCUCAUGAAACUUGCAUUCUGAGGACGGAAGACAAGUGAUAAGCUGGUGAACAGCAUCAGGGUCUUUUCCAAUGAAGAGUUGGCUCUUCACAUCAGGUGGCCAAAAUAUUGGAGCUUCAGCUUCAGCAUCAGUCCUUCCAGUGAAUAUUCAGGGUUGAUUUUCUUUAGGAUGGACUGAUUUGAUCUCCUUGCUGUCCAAGGGACUCUCAAGAAUCUUCUUCAAUACCACAGGUCAAAAGCAUCAAUUCUUCCACUCUCUACCUUCUUUACGGCCCAACAUCAGUACAUGACUACCAGAAAAACCAUAGCUUUGACCAUACAGAUCUUUGUUGGCAAAGUGUUGUCUUUGCUUUUGGAUAUGCUGUUUAGGGUCAUCAUAGCUUUUCUUCCAAGGAGCAAGCAUCUUUUAAUUUCAUAGCCGCUUAGCAUGUUUUAGGAACAGCCAGAAAGCCAGUGAGUGAGCUCACUUACCAGAGCUCAGUGAGUGAGGGGAUGGGGAUAUAUGGAUCAACUGGUCCAGCUUCCCUCUCAAGCCCUCCAUUGUACCUUCCUGAGUAUCAGAGGGGAAAGCUUCAAUCAACUGCCUCCCUUGUGGCUGUGAUCCUGAAGGCUGGCCGUGGAUCGUGAACUUGGGAAGGCAGAAGUGAGGCAGAGGCCAUCGUCUUGCCACCUUUGACUGCAUCUGACAAACAAGAUCAACAUGUGACUUUAAAGGACAGCCAGGCUUACUUCCAGGAGAGCCGGAGGGAUAUAGGAAACGGAGACUCUGCUCUUACAGGUCGUGUGUGACAUCUCACUGUGCAUUCCCCGGGCACAGGCAGUAAUGUGAAAGGAGCCCGCGUCAGACCCACCUGCUGACCCUGAGAGCACCUGAGAGAGG